rnacentral:rRNA from 1 species
GAUGAACGCUGGCGGCGUGCCUAAUACAUGCAGGUCGAGCGAACGGACGAGAAGCUUGCUGCUCUGAUGUUAGGGGCGGACGGGUGAGUAACACGUGGAUAACCUACCUAUAAGACUGGUAUAACUUCGGGAAACCGGAGCUAAUACCGUAGGAGAUUUUGAACCGCAGGGUUCAAAAGAGAAAGACGGUGGUGCUGUCAGUUAUAGAUGGAUCCGCGCUGCAUUAGCUAGUUGGUAAGGUAACGGCUUACCAAGGCAAGGAUGCAUAGCCGAGGUGAGAGAGUGAUAGCCGACCUGAGAACUGAAACGCGCACCAGAGUACUACGAGAGGCAGCAGUCGCCUAUGUUCCGCAAUAGUCGAAAGUCUGGCGCAGUAACGCGGAGUCAGUGACAACGGCCUCGGGAUCGUAAUACUCUCUUAUUAGGGAAGAACCUCUGUCUCCUUUAAUGUGCCCAUCUUGACGGUAACUAAUAAGAAAGCAACGGCUAACUACGUG